CAGGCGCGGGAAAGGGCGUGGCUACCCCCCGGCGCUGGCCCAACCAUCAAGCACGAGAGGGAGCGCGCGCAGAGGUUGGGAGUUCGGUUGAAGCGGCGGUUCGAUACGGAAGUGGCGGGGUGCAGCGCCCAGGCGGCCCCGGGAUCCCGCAGCUGAAUAGGAAAGGUGGCAUAGGGGGAAGGUUUAGGAUAGGACGCACUGACACGUCGCCAGCACUUCCGGUGCUCCAGAUCUUGGGACCAAAUAGGCUCUAGAGGGGGCGUUGCCGACUUUCCCGCCCCCUCUUCAUUUUUCAGGGAGAGGCAUGAAUAUAAGCUCUAGUAGAAGAAGCAGUGAACGUUCUUCCGACCUGAGAUUAUUUUUCCCCGCGUGAGGCAGAAAACCCAUCCUCCCCCAGAAAGGCCACAUGCACACAUCUUCCCUGCCAGAGUCCCACGAGGACAAGACCCCGCCCCCACCCCUUUGCAGGCUCUGGGCUGGUGGUAGCGUCCAGACGGCCGCCCAAUCAGAAGGCUCCAACGCAGCGGAAACGCGUGGCCUGGUAGGGGAGGGGCUCCAGGCUACUCGCGUCUCCAUGGCGACCGCCGCCGGCCGGCCCAGACUUCCCCGGCUCUGGUGGGAGGAGUAGCGGGAGGUGCCCAGUCUGGAGGCGGUCGGGUACAGGCGAGAUCAGAGCUCUCUCUGUCCUCUUUGGCAGUUUACCCAGCGCCCUCCUACACUGGCGAUCCCUACGCUGUGGUCGCUGCCCGAACUCCCGCCUUUUAGAUGGAGAAACUGAGGCCCACAUAGGGGCGGAAUGUUGCCCAAAAGUUCACACCGGAAGUUUAGGGCAGAGCCAAGGCAAAAACCCAUGUAUCUAUUUGUUCCACAAGUAUUUAUCGAGAUCCUAGUUGACAUUUCUUGGAGGAGUUGGCAGAAUCCAGAGCGACUGACCUUGGACCCGCAGCGCCGCCGCAGACACGUGGGAGGUACCUCGAAGAGACCCUCGCUCUCCAGCGUUUCCACUGGCGAGCCUCGGAGUUCGGGGGUAAGUUCUCCUGGAUCCGAACCUCCUAUUGUUUUGUAGUUGAGGUUCAGACCAGACUUUAUUUGGGCGGACUGGCCGGUUCUGUCCUCACUGCUUUGGGAAGCGGUCUUUACAAGCGCACAUACCCGACCCAGAUCAUCUCCUCCUGCCUUGGCCAUCCAAGAACAGCCGUCUCUCAAUGACAGGCAACACUGAUUCCA